UACGUAGGGUGCAAGCGUUGUCCGGAAUUAUUGGGCGUAAAGAGCUCGUAGGCGGUCUGUUGCGUCGGCUGUGAAAACCCGGGGCUCAACUCCGGGCCUGCAGCCGAUACGGGCAGACUAGAGUUCGGCAGGGGAGACGUGAAUUCCUGGUGUAGCGGUGAAAUGCGCAGAUAUCAGGAGGAACACCGGUGGCGAAGGCGGGUCUCUGGGCCGAUACUGACGCUGAGGAGCGAAAGCGUGGGGAGCAAACAGG
rnacentral:rRNA from 1 species